rnacentral:rRNA from 1 species
AUAAGGAGCUUGCUCCUUUGACGUUAGCGGCGGACGGGUGAGUAACACGUGGGUAACCUACCUAUAAGACUGGGAUAACUUCGGGAAACCGGAGCUAAUACCGGAUAAUAUUUCGAACCGCAUGGUUCGAUAGUGAAAGAUGGUUUUGCUAUCACUUAUAGAUGGACCCGCGCCGUAUUAGCUAGUUGGUAAGGUAACGGCUUACCAAGGCGACGAUACGUAGCCGACCUGAGAGGGUGAUCGGCCACACUGGAACUGAGACACGGUCCAGACUCCUACGGGAGGCAGCAGUAGGGAAUCUUCCGCAAUGGGCGAAAGCCUGACGGAGCAACGCCGCGUGAGUGAUGAAGGUCUUCGGAUCGUAAAACUCUGUUAUUAGGGAAGAACAUACGUGUAAGUAACUGUGCACGUCUUGACGGUACCUAAUCAGAAAGCCACGGCUAACUACGUGCCAGCAGCCGCGGUAAUACGUAGGUGGCAAGCGUUAUCCGGAAUUAUUGGGCGUAAAGCGCGCGUAGGCGGUUUUUUAAGUCUGAUGUGAAAGCCCACGGCUCAACCGUGGAGGGUCAUUGGAAACUGGAAAACUUGAGUGCAGAAGAGGAAAG